rnacentral:rRNA from 1 species
CGUGCCAGCAGCCGCGGUAAUACGAAGGGGGCUAGCGUUGCUCGGAAUCACUGGGCGUAAAGGGCGCGUAGGCGGCGUUUUAAGUCGGGGGUGAAAGCCUGUGGCUCAACCACAGAAUGGCCUUCGAUACUGGGACGCUUGAGUAUGGUAGAGGUUGGUGGAACUGCGAGUGUAGAGGUGAAAUUCGUAGAUAUUCGCAAGAACACCGGUGGCGAAGGCGGCCAACUGGACCAUCACUGACGCUGAGGCGCGAAAGCGUGGGGAGCAAACAGGAUUAGAUACCCUGGUAGUCCACGCCGUAAACGAUGA